GCACUGCUCUCUGAGGAGGAGACCCCCAGCCAUGUGCUCCGGGGGGGUUAGAAACUCUUCUGGAUCCUCCACAGCCUGACAAAUCCAUCUAGCCUGCAUAAAAGGCAAGUUCUGGACGCCAUCCUGGA